UGGUGUCAUUUUCUUGUUGUGGGGGAAAGUGUGUUACAACCAUUUUUUCGUCUCUUAUUGGAUAAGCUAUGUAUUUAUGUGGGAUAAGGAUCAUGGACAGCUGAGAACUGCACCGCACGAGAGAAGGCAGGAGGGGCAAAACUACUGUGCUCCACCACCUCCAAGCCCACUUUGUUGGCACGGGAGAAGAAGGUGGCACGUUCAUCCUCGAGGUCGAGCCGGCCCCGAUGCGCAGAUCCUUGUGAUGC